ACGAACGCUGGCGGCGUGCUUAACACAUGCAAGUCGAACGAUGAAGCCCUAGCUUGCUGGGGUGGAAGAGUGGCGAACGGGUGAGUAACACGUGAGUAACCUGCCCUUAACUCUGGGAUAAGCGCUGGAAACGGCGUCUAAUACUGGAUAUGACCUGUCACCGCAUGGUGGUGGGUGGAAAGAUUUUUUGGUUUUGGAUGGACUCGCGGCCUAUCAGCUUGUUGGUGAGGUAAUGGCUCACCAAGGCGACGACGGGUAGCCGGCCUGAGAGGGUGACCGGCCACACUGGGACUGAGACACGGCCCAGACUCCUACGGGAGGCAGCAGUGGGGAAUAUUGCACAAUGGGCGAAAGCCUGAUGCAGCAACGCCGCGUGAGGGAUGACGGCCUUCGGGUUGUAAACCUCUUUUAGUAGGGAAGAAGCGUAAGUGACGGUACCUACAGAAAAAGCACCGGCUAACUACGUGCCAGCAGCCGCGGUAAUACGUAGGGUGCAAGCGUUGGCCGGAAUUAUUGGGGCGUAAAGAGCUCGUAGGCGGCUUGGUCGCGUCUGCUGUGAAAUCCCGAGGCUCAACCUCGGGUCUGCAGUGGGUACGGGCAGGCUAGAGUGCGGUAGGGGAGAUUGGAAUUCCUGGUGUAGCGGUGGAAUGCGCAGAUAUCAGGAGGAACACCGAUGGCGAAGGCAGAUCUCUGGGCCGCUACUGACGCUGAGGAGCGAAAGCAUGGGGAGCGAACAGGAUUAGAUACCCUGGUAGUCCAUGCCGUAAACGUUGGGAACUAGAUGUAGGGACCUUUCCACGGUUUCUGUGUCGUAGCUAACGCAUUAAGUUCCCCGCCUGGGGAGUACGGCCGCAAGGCUAAAACUCAAAGGAAUUGACGGGGGCCCGCACAAGCGGCGGAGCAUGCGGAUUAAUUCGAUGCAACGCGAAGAACCUUACCAAGGCUUGGCAUAUGCGAGAACACUGUAGAGAUACAGGACUCUUUGGACACUCGUAUACAGGUGGUGCAUGGUUGUCGUCAGCUCGUGUCGUGAGAUGUUCGGUUAAGUCCGGCAACGAGCGCAACCCUCGUCCUAUGUUGCCAGCGGGUUAUGCCGGGGACUCAUGGGAUACUGCCGUGGUCAACACGGAGGAAGGUGGGGAUGACGUCAAAUCAUCAUGCCCCUUAUGUCUUGGGCUUCACGCAUGCUACAAUGGCCGGUACAAUGGGCUGCGAUGCCGUAAGGUGGAGCGAAUCCCAAAAAGCCGGUCUCAGUUCGGAUUGGGGUCUGCAACUCGACCCCAUGAAGUCGGAGUCGCUAGUAAUCGCAGAUCAGCAACGCUGCGGUGAAUACGUUCCCGGGCCUUGUACACACCGCCC
rnacentral:rRNA from 1 species